rnacentral:rRNA from 1 species
UACGUAGGGCGCAAGCGUUGUCCGGAAUUAUUGGGCGUAAAGAGCUCGUAGGCGGUUUGUCGCGUCUGCUGUGAAAACCUAAGGCUCAACCUCGGGUCUGCAGUCGAUACGAGCAAACUAGAGUGUUGCAGGGGAGACUGGAAUUCCUGGUGUAGCGGUGAAAUGCGCAGAUAUCAGGAGGAACACCGGUGGCGAAGGCGGGUCUCUGGGCAACAACUGACGCUGAGGAGCGAAAGCGUGGGAGCGAACGG